rnacentral:rRNA from 1 species
UUUGGCAGCGGUCCAAGUUCCUUGGAACAGGACGUCACAGAGGGUGAGAAUCCCGUACGUGGUCGCUAGCUAUUGCCGUGUAAAGCCCCUUCGACGAGUCGAGUUGUUUGGGAAUGCAGCUCUAAAUGGGAGGUAAAUUUCUUCUAAAGCUAAAUAUUGGCCAGAGACCGAUAGCGCACAAGUAGAGUGAUCGAAAGAUGAAAAGCACUUUGGAAAGAGAGUCAAACAGCACGUGAAAUUGUUGAAAGGGAAGCGCUUGCAGCCAGACUUGCUUGCAGUUGCUCAUCCGGGCUUUUGCCCGGUGCACUCUUCUGCAGGCAGGCCAGCAUCAGUUUGGGCGGUGGGAUAAAGGUCUCUGUCACGUACCAUCCUUCGGGAUGGCCAUAUAGGGGAGACGUCAUACCACCAGCCUGGACUGAGGUCCGCGCAUCUGCUAGGAUGCUGGCGUAAUGGCUGUAAGCGGCCCGUCUUGAAACACGGACCAAGGAGUCUAACAUCUAUGCGAGUGUUUGGGUGUCAAGCCCGAGCGCGUAAUGAAAGUGAACGGAGGUGGGAACCCGCAAGGGUGCACCAUCGACCGAUCCUGAAGUUUACGGAAGGAUUUGAGUAAGAGCAUGGCUGUUGGGACCCGAAAGAUGGUGAACUAUGCUUGAAUAGGGUGAAGCCAGAGGAAACUCUGGUGGAGGCUCGCAGCGGUUCUGACGUGCAAAUCGAUCGUCAAAUUUGGGCAUAGGGGC